GACGAACGCUGGCGGCGUGCUUAACACAUGCAAGUCGAACGGUGAAGCGCCUUCCUUUUUGGUGGGUGUGGAUGAGUGGCGAACGGGUGAGUAACACGUGAGUAACCUGCCCCCUUCUUCUGGAUAACCGCAUGAAAGUGUGGCUAAUACGGGAUAUGCUGGGUCUGUCGCAUGAUGGGUCUGGGAAAGAUAUUGUUUCGGUGGGGGAUGGGCUCGCGGACUAUCAGCUUGUUGGUGGGGUGAUGGCCUACCAAGGCGGUGACGGGUAGCCGGCCUGGGAGGGUGGGCGGUCCUAGUGGGACGGCGCGGCGGACCAGACUACUAGGGGAAGCAGCAGGGGGGAAUAGUGCACAAUGGGCGGCAGGCUGAUGCAGCGACGCGGCGUGAGAGAUGGAGGCCUUCGGGUUGUGAACCUCUUGCGCCAGUGAAGCAGGGCUGCCUCGUUUGUGGGUGGGUUGACGGUAGCUGGAUAAGAAGCGCCGGCUAACUACGUG
rnacentral:rRNA from 1 species